rnacentral:rRNA from 1 species
GAGUUUGAUCGUGGCUCAGAGUGAACGCUGGCGGUAGGCCUAACACAUGCAAGUCGAACGGCAGCACAGAGGAGCUUGCUCCUUGGGUGGCGAGUGGCGGACGGGUGAGGAAUACAUCGGAAUCUACUCUGUCGUGGGGGAUAACGUAGGGAAACUUACGCUAAUACCGCAUACGACCUACGGGUGAAAGCAGGGGAUCUUCGGACCUUGCGCGAUUGAAUGAGCCGAUGUCGGAUUAGCUAGUUGGCGGGUAAAGGCCCACCAAGGCGACGAUCCGUAGCUGGUCUGAGAGGAUGAUCAGCCACACUGGAACUGAGACACGGUCCAGACUCCGUACGGGAGGCAGCAGUGGGGAAUAUUGGACAAUGGGCGCAAGCCUGAUCCAGCCAUACCGCGU